UAGGGAAUAUUGCGCAAUGGAGGAAACUCUGACGCAGCGACGCCGCGUGGGUGACGAAGGCUUUCGGGUCGUAAAACCCUGUCGGAAGGGACGAAUUGCCAUCUGACUAAUAAGCAGAUGGAGUGACGGUACCUUUAGAGGAAGCACCGGCUAACUACGUGCCAGCAGCCGCGGUAAUACGUAGGGUGCAAGCGUUGUUCGGAAUUAUUGGGCGUAAAGCGCGUGUAGGUUGCUAAGUAAGUCGAUUGUAAAAGCCCUAGGCUCAACCAAGGAAGUGCAUUCGAAACUACUUAGCUAGAGGAUGGCAGAGGAAGGUGGAAUUCCAAGUGUAGAGGUGAAAUUCGUAGAUAUUUGGAGGAAUACCGGCGGCGAAGGCGGCCUUCUGGACCAUUCCUGACAC
rnacentral:rRNA from 1 species